UUUCCGUAGGUGAACCUGCGGAAGGAUCAUUAAAAAAUUGGACUCCAUUGGUGAGUUCAUUAAUAAUCCCUACCCUUUGUGAAUUUGUUUGUUUGAAUAAUUUUUUUUCCAAAAAAAAUUAUUGAAUGUCUUUCCCUGUUUUGGUGGAGCUUGUAAAGUGAAACCAGGCAGGGGAAUGGCAAACAAUAAUUAUUUUUGAAAAAAGACCUUUUUUUAAAAUUAAACUUUUUGUAUUCAUUUGUCUAAAAUUAUUUUUAUAAUAUAAAAACAACUUUUGACAAUGGAUCUCUUGGUUCUCGCAACGAUGAAGAACGCAGCAAAAUGCGAUAAGUAGUGUGAAUUGCAGAAUACGUGAAUCAUCGAAUCUUCGAACGCAUAUUGCACUUUUUUAGUUUACUAAAAAAGUAUGUCUGUUUGAGUAUCAGUAAAAUAUUCUCAUAAAAAACAUUGUUUUUUUAUGGUUAUGAGUGUUUUACAACGAUAACAAGUUGUUUCACUUUAAAUUCUUUGUUAUCAAAAAAAUCAUUAAAAGCUAAUUUUAAAGAUUUUUUAAAAUUGGAUAAAAUUUUCCCGUAAAAAGGAAUAACCUAAACAAUUUUAAAAAAUUAAAAUUGGUUUGAUUUUUUUUGAAACCCAAAGGAAAAAAAAACGAAAUUAACUUGAUCUCAAAUCAGAUAAGAGUACCCGCUGAACUUAAACAUAUCAAUAAGCGGAGGAAAAGAAACUAACUAGGAUUCCCUCAGUAACGGCGAGUGAAGCGGGAAGAGCUCAAAUUUGAAAUCUUCAAGGUUUUACCUUGACGAAUUGUAGUUUAAAGAAGUGUUUUCUGUUGGAGUUUUGGUAAAAGUUCUUUGGAAAAGGACAUCAUAGAGGGUGAGAAUCCCGUAUUUGACCAUUAUCUCCAGCUUUGUGAUACACUUUCAAAGAGUCGGAUUGUUUGGGAAUGCAGUCCAAAAUGGGUGGUAGAUUUCAUCUAAAGCUAAAUACUGGCGAGAGACCGAUAGCGAACAAGUACCGUGAGGGAAAGAUGAAAAGAGCUUUGAAAAGAGAGUUAAACAGUACGUGAAAUUGUCAAAAGGGAAGCGUUUGACACCAGUGUUGUUUUCUCGAAAAUCAAUUAAAAAGGCGGAUUUUGUGUUGUAUUGACCUUAACAGCUUGCAUUUCAUUUUCUUGUCUUUUUUUAAUGCACUUUUCGUUUAACAAGUCAACAUCAAUUUCUUUUGUUGUAAAAGGUCAUUGGAAGGUGGCUUUCUUUUCGGAGAAAGUGUUUAUAGCCUUUGGCUCCUGCAAUCGGAGAGAUUGAGGUCUGCAGCGUAGAUCCUUCGGGGUUAGAUACAUUUGUGCUAAGUUAUAGCUUUUAUAGACAACUUGUUGACUAUGAUUAGUCUUGUAGCUUACUCGCUUGUGCUAUUUUACCUACGCUUAGGAUGUUG
rnacentral:misc_RNA from 1 species